rnacentral:rRNA from 1 species
CCCGCACAAGCGGUGGAGCAUUGUGGUUUAAUUCGAAGCAACGCGAAGAACCUUACCAGGUCUUGACAUCCCGAUGCUAUUUCUAGAGAUAGAAAGUUACUUCGGUACAUCGGUGACAGGUGGUGCAUGGUUGUCGUCAGCUCGUGUCGUGAGAUGUUGGGUUAAGUCCCGCAACGAGCGCAACCCCUAUUGUUAGUUGCCAUCAUUCAGUUGGGCACUCUAGCGAGACUGCCGGUAAUAAACCGGAGGAAGGUGGGGAUGACGUCAAAUCAUCAUGCCCCUUAUGACCUGGGCUACACACGUGCUACAAUGGUUGGUACAACGAGUUGCGAGUCGGUGACGGCGAGCUAAUCUCUUAAAGCCAAUCUCAGUUCGGAUUGUAGGCUGCAACUCGCCUACAUGAAGUCGGAAUCGCUAGUAAUCGCGGAUCAGCACGCCGCGGUGAAUACGUUCCCGGGCCCU